rnacentral:rRNA from 1 species
AGAGUUUGAUCCUGGCUCAGAUUGAACGCUGGCGGCAUGCCUUACACAUGCAAGUCGAACGGCAGCACGGGAGCUUGCUCCUGGUGGCGAGUGGCGAACGGGUGAGUAAUACAUCGGAACGUACCCUGAAGUGGGGAUAACGUAGCGAAAGUUACGCUAAUACCGCAUAUUCUGUGAGCAGGAAAGAGGGGGAUCGCAAGACCUCUUGCUUUAGGAGCGGCCGAUGUCGGAUUAGCUAGUUGGUGAGGUAAGGCUCACCAAGGCGACGAUCCGUAGCGGGUCUGAGAGGAUGAUCCGCCACACUGGGACUGAGACACGGCCCAGACUCCUACGGGAGGCAGCAGUGGGGAAUUUUGGACAAUGGGCGCAAGCCUGAUCCAGCCAUGCCGCGUGAGUGAAGAAGGCCUUCGGGUUGUAAAGCUCUUUCGGUGGGGAAGAAAUUGCUUCGGUUAAUACCUGGAGUAGAUGACGGUACCCGCAUAAGAAGCACCGGCUAACUACGUG